UCAAAGACGAUGAGGUAGAUAGGUUCGGGGUGGAAGCGUGGCGACACGUGCAGCUGACGAAUACUAAUCGAUCGAGGACUUAACCAAA
rnacentral:rRNA from 1 species